rnacentral:rRNA from 1 species
AGUUAUGAUCUUGAAAUUUAAAAAUUUUGGCGGUAUAUUAGUCUAUUUAGAGGAUCCUGUUCUAUAAUUGAUAGUCCACGAUUAAUUAAACUUAACCAAGAAAUUUAUAUAUCGUCGUUUUAAAAAAUUUUAUAAGAAUAAUAAAUUUUAAAAUUUAAGAUAAAUAAAUAAUUCAGCCCAAGGUGUAGUGAAAUAAUUAAGAAGAAAUGGGUUACAAUAAAUUUAUUUAAAUGGAUUAUAUUGGGAAGAAAAUGUAUGAAGGUGGAUUUAAAAGUAAUAAAAUUUAAUA